rnacentral:lncRNA from 1 species
AACAGCUGGUCUGGAGGUCAGAGAAAACAAGAAAGGAAUAGGCAAAGAAAUAGGACAAUCCUCCAUUGCAGCGUUAAGCUGUUCCCAUGUGUGAGAAGAACAAAAUUCUACCUGGUUUGCAGCGUUUGAGCAACACUGAUCAGACUGAUCAGGGGUUUAGUCUGCAUUGUGGACCUUUAUGAGUCCCCACUAAGACAAUGAUAUUAAUGACCUCUGUGAUCAUAUUAAGACCAACUGCGUCCUCUUCGCUGAUGAUGUAAAGCUAUUCAACACCACAGACAAUACUGCUACCCUUCAAAAAGACCUCGACUAUGUAUCAGAAUGGUCAAACAAAUGGCAACUUCAAAUCUCAACAAACAAAUGCUCUGUCUUACAUAUUGGCAAAAAAAAUCAGAAAAUAAAAUACAGGCUGAAUAGUCAAGACCUUGUUGAUGAUCCAAACUCUGUCAAGGACCUUGGAGUAUUCAUCUCUAAUGAUCUAAGUGCUAAAGCCCACUGUAACUACAUAGCCAAAAAGGCAUUAAGAGUUGUUAACCUAAUCUUACGUAGCUUUUUCUCUGGUAAUAUUACACUACUAACUAGAGCAUACAAAACAUUUGCUAGACCAAUACUCGAAUACAGCUCAUCAGUCUGGAACCCACAUUACGUAUCCGAUAUUAACACAGUUGAGAAAGUCCAGAAAUAUUUCACAAGAAGAGUUCUCCACUCCUCUACUUGUUGCAGAAUACCUUAUGCCACCAGACUUGAAAUUCUAGACCUAGAAAAGCUAGAACUACGCCGCCUUCGGUCUGAUCUAUAUCAAAUCAUACAUUGCAAUGUCCUACCUGUCAAUACUUCAGCUUCAACCAUAACAACACAAGAGCAAACAAUAGAUACAAACUCAAGGUUAAUCGCACCGAACUUGAUUGCAGGAAAUACGACUUCAGCAACACAGUGGUCAAUGUCUGGAAUACUCUACCUGACUCUGUGGUUUCUUCCCCAAACCCCAAAAACUUUAACUUUAGACUUUCUACUAUUGAUCUCACCCCUUUCCUAAGAGGUCUGUAGGGGCGUGCAUAAGCGCACCAACGUGCCUACUGUCCCUGCCUUAUUGUUUAUUUUUUCUUAUAUGUAUCCAUGUAUUCAUAACUAUGUUUUUACUUAUACCUAUUAUCUUGUAAGCAAUUGACAAACCAAAAUAAAUAAAUAAAUAAAUCCCCU